rnacentral:rRNA from 1 species
AGUGAACGCUGGCGGUAGGCCUAACACAUGCAAGUCGAACGGCAGCACAGUAAGAGCUUGCUCUUACGGGUGGCGAGUGGCGGACGGGUGAGGAAUACAUCGGAAUCUACUUUUUCGUGGGGGAUAACGUAGGGAAACUUACGCUAAUACCGCAUACGACCUACGGGUGAAAGCAGGGGAUCUUCGGACCUUGCGCGAUUGAAUGAGCCGAUGUCGGAUUAGCUAGUUGGCGGGGUAAAGGCCCACCAAGGCGACGAUCCGUAGCUGGUCUGAGAGGAUGAACAGGCAAAAUGGGAAUUGGGAAACGGUCCAAAUCCCAACGGAAGGAAGAGUGGGGGAAAAUGGGAAAAUGGGGGAAAGCUGAACCCAGCAAUACGGGGGGGGGAAAGAAGGCUUUCGGGUGGUAAAGCCCUUUUGUGGGAAAAAAAAGGAGGAAGGUAAAUACCCGCCUGUUUGGAGGGAACCAAAGGAAAAGCACCGGCUAACUUCGUG